AGACUCGGGUCCACGCUUAGGCAGUGUUUUUGAAGCUGGGUCGCGACACAUUAACUGAUCAUAAAAUUGGUUCCGUGGAUGGCGACCCCUUUAAAAAAAUGCGAUGCAGUGGAAUCGACAAUAUUAGAAUCCAUUGUCCUUUAGUGAGGGUCACUAUGGUUUCAGAAUCCUUUUGUUUCAGUUGUAUAUACUGGACAACUGUACAGACCAUGAUGUAAAUUUUAUUUCCUACUGUGGGUCAAGGGUCAAAAGUUUAAAAUCUGUACCUUGGGAGCUGUAAAGUAACGAUCACUGUAACUUUCUUAAAAACAAUCAUGAUUUUCUCACUACUUCUUAUCCUUUCCAACCUCCAUUUCCCGUGACGGAACCCCCUCCCCCCAAAAAGUAAGCCCUUUCAUACACUUAGCUAGUUUGGGUGGUAGUGCAUAGUUCCCCCUUCCUCUCAGGGUGACCUUUGACUCUGCCAGUUUCUUCACCCCUAUAUCCAGUGCAACGCUCCCUACUGCUUCUCUUAGCCUAAGGUUAUUCACAUUUGCAGGAUCCUAGAUUACCACUGCUGGAAACACCAUCUGGGGCAGCCCUCCCUUUUAGAACUGAAAAAGGGAGGCCCGUAGAAGCCAAGUGCAUUGCCUAGUAUUGCACACCAUUCACUUUUAAGAUUUUCUACCUGUGCCCGACUUGGGUCCUCCACAAAACAGCCAGAGGUAGUAUGAGAUGAAGAUAGAUCUGGGUUCAGAACCCCGUUCCUCCACUUUGUAGCUGUGUGAACUUGGUCAAAUUGCUUCACCUCUCUGAGCUGCAGUUUCUGCAUCUGCAUUACUAUGAGAUCUGCUACCUAACAGAACUCGCUGCAGGGAUGGAAACCUAACCAUUGGUGGCUGUUGAGCAUAUGGAAUGUGAUUAAUGUGCCUGAGGAACUGGAUUUUUCAUUUUCACGGCCACAUGUGGCUGGCAGCUACCAUAUUGGAUGGAGAUCUCUAAACUGCCCGUUCAGCAAGGGCAAAAGCCACAUUGAUCUUAAUCCCCCAGCAAAGAGCAUGUUGCCUGGCAUAGGCUAGGUCCUGCCCAAAUAUCUGGGGAGUGAUGACAGCCCCCAUGUAUUGUGUGCAACUUUGUGGCAUUCACAGUGCUAAGAACUGGGUUUAAAUUAUUUUGUAUAGUGCUCCCCACAGCCCCUGAGGUGGGGUUGGAGAUAGAACUAGUACAGAGUGCUGGCAGAUAGCAGAGGUUCAAUAAAAGUUU